UUAAGAAAACUUUAAUAAUGAAACUUACUUUAAUUUUUAAAAGUUAAUAAAAAUUAAAAAGAUUUAUUAUAAUUUAAUUAAUUACUGAGAGGGGAAAGUUUUAAUAAAAAAAAAGUAAGUUUUUGUACCUUUUGCAUAAGGGAAUUUUUAAAAAAAAUAAAAUUUUAUUUUUCUCGAACUAAAUUGGUCAAUUUAGAAUACAAUUUAGCCUAUUAUUGAAAUAAUAGGCUAAAAUUCUAAAUAGAAGUGAAAUUCUUGUCAAAAUUUAAGCUAGCUAGUUUUAGAAUUAGGGUGAUAGACCUAUCUGUUUAGGUUUUUUAUUUUUUAAAAAAACAGAUGAAAUUUUUAGGGAUAAGCUUAGAAAUUUUUUAAAAUAAUAAAAAAAGUUGACAAAUAGGGAUUAAAAUUAUCCUUUUAAUUUUUAUAAAUAAUUUAUAUAUAUAUAAUAAUUAAAUUUUAAUAUUUUUAAAAAAAAAAUUAAUUUUGAUUUUUAAGAAAAAUGAAAUUAUUAGUAUAAAUACAAGAAUAUAUUUAUAUAUUAUUUUAAAAACUAACUAUGAAGGCAAAAAUAAAUUUUAAGAAUUAGGCAAAAAAUUUUUCUGACUGUUUAAUAAAAACAAUUCAUUUAGUAAAAUAAAUAAAUGAAAAUCCUGCUCAAUGAAUUUAAAUUUAAAUUGCUGUAGUAUUUUGACUAUACAAAGGUAUUGAAAUAAGACUUUAAUUGAGUGCUAAGAGAAUGGAAUUACAGAAAAAAGCUUUUUUAAAUUUAAUAAUUAAAGUUAUUUUUAUUUGUGAAGAAACAAUAAUUAAAAUUAAGGACAAGAAGACCCUAUGAAUUUUUCUGAAAUAUAUUUCAUUUAAAGAAAUAUAUAUUUCUUUAAUUGGGGCGAUUAAUUAAUAUUUUGAACUUUUUUGCAAAAAUAUGAACCGUUUAAUAGCGGUAAAUUGUAAAAAUACUCUAGGGAUAACAGCGUAAUAAUUUUAGAUAGUUCAUAUUGACAAAAUAGUUUGCGACCUCGAUGUUGGAUUAGGAUGUUUUUUUGGCGAAGAAGUUAAAAAAAAAAGUUUGUUCAACUUUUAAAUUCCUACAUGAUCUGAGUUUAGACCGAUGAGAAUCAGGUUGGUUUCUAUCUUAAUUUAAAUUGAAUUGAAAAUUAGUACGAAAGGAAUUUUUUCAUGAAAUUUUUUUUUUAAGAUUGGCAGUUUUUGCAUCAAUUUUUGGAAUUGUA
rnacentral:rRNA from 1 species